GUCACUGCUACGUGAAAAAUCAUGUAGAUCAUUCCAAAUUCAUUUUGCCUAGACUUCACCUGACUAAGGUAAUGAUUACCAAAACCUAUAUAAACACCAAAUGAAGACUUGGUCAUUUUCACUGUAGUUAACCUAUCGCACUUACGUGAAAUUCACGUAGCCACUUAAAUUCAUUUUGACACUUGCAUAUCGCAUUCAUUCUGUGUUUAGCUCAAAUUUCAAGAUGGAGCCUGUUGAUGUUCCAAGAACUUUGAGAGCGGACAGUAUUGAAAACGUAUUUUAUUUCGAUUUCAAGGAAACGAACAGCAGGAUCGAUUCAACUAGUAAACAUUAGUACCGAAAGAUUUACGGAUGGGACUGGCCUUGGACGGACUUUUAUUAGUUGAACGGAGAUAGUGCGUUUGUAAAUAGUUGAUAUUUAAUUAGAGUAUUUCGUAAUAUUCAACUGAAUUAGUGUUCAGAACUGGAUUAUGUAUCCGGUUUCACCACAAACGAAGUCGGCGGUUUCAUUAUUGAGCAGUGACACCCAGCAAUACAAUGCAGCAAACUAGCAGGAUAUUAGUUUACCUAUAAACUGUUGAUGACUAUUAUGAUGCAAAUAUUUGAUUCAAAAUGUGCCUGUAUCACCUGUAUUCAAUAAAUAAUUACGUCUAUAUAAAUCGUUCAACAUAUUCGAAUUGAAAAAAUACUUGAAAAAUAGAGUGGCUUCUAUAAACAUACUUCAAUAAUUUUCAAUGAAAUAACAUUUAGGAUCGAUUGAAGCGCUUCGUAAAAGCUACGUGAAAAUCCAUGUAGCUGUUACGUGAAACUCCGAUGGAACGGAUUGAGUUCGAGAGUUCAUGCGUUCAUUUUGUGUUACUUAUGAUCCACGUAAGUGCUACGUGAAAAGUAG